GAGACAUACGGUAUAGAGGUUUUUAAAGGAUAGCUCUAUGGAGAUCUUUGGAUCUCACCAAAACGGACCUUUACUCUCUAGAUGUUGAAAGUAUGGAUAUUUAUCAUUAUAUUGAAUGGCAUAGAGCGAUACUGGAUCUUUCAGAUUCUCGGAUUGCGAUUUCCAGAAUCUGUUUUAGGAGAUAUGGUUUUAAUGAGUGAGGGGACAAGCAUAUGGAAUUGCUAUAAAAGGAGAUAGUCAGCUUGUGGGAUAUGAAGAGUGGUGAAGCCAACAGGAAACGUUACAAGUUUUCAAUAAAAUAUCAGUUAUGGAAGCUGUUUGGGAUCUUUGGUCACGUUUUCUCUCCUGCUUUAAUGUUGCUUAUUUCUAUUUGUGAGUUCAAGUAUUGGAAUAAAAAGGGCUUAUUUGAUUCAUACCGGUGUUUCUCUUUUCUCAGGGUCCAGAAUGAGAUAUUUGAAGAGAUGAGGUCUCAUGGGCUUAUUGGGUCUCAUGGUUUGGAUUCUGCCGUCUGGGUUACUUUUCUUGAAGCAAGCUCUCUGUUUGGUCUCAUCAAACCAGUCACAGAGAGUAGAGCUAGAUAUGGCAAAGAUUCGGAAGGGGGUUCUAAGGUUGGCGCAGAUUAGUGCAAGGAUAGAAACAAGGAUCGUGGAUGAGCUUUACUUGGACCUGGCGAGUAUUCAUCCAGCGGAGUCAGGCUCUGCGAAUUUUAUGCUAGUGGUUCACCUUGACAACAGAAAUAUUUCAGGAAACAGGGUAUAUCUUGAUAUGGUGUUUGGUUUGGGAUGGACAGGAAGAUCACACCUUUUGUCUAUAGAAGAAUUGUUAGGAAAAUAUCAUUUUGGUGCAGACUAUUAUUUGUCUAUUUCUAUUUUAAAAGCGAUAAAGAGGAACGUUUUCUUGAAAAAAAAAAAGAAUUAUUGGGUA